rnacentral:rRNA from 1 species
UACCCAGUGGCGGACGGGUGAGUAACGCGUGGGCAACCUGCCCCGUGCCGGGGGAUACCGCCUGGAAACAGGCGCUAAUACCGCAUAAGCGCAUACAGCCGCAUGGGUGUAUGCGGAAAGCUCCGGCGGCACGGGAUGGGCCCGCGCCCGAUUAGCCAGUUGGCGGGGUAACGGCCCACCAAAGCGACGAUCGGUAGCCGGCCUGAGAGGGCGGACGGCCACAUUGGGACUGAGACACGGCCCAAACUCCUACGGGAGGCAGCAG